CGACUACCACAGCUGAUUUCAACUGAUUUUGGCAGAAGGAAUCACACCUGACGUGCUAACUGAUUCGAAGUCGUAUAUCAGCUAAUGACAUUCUAAGUACAAUCCACCGGCGAGUGUUUUGAAAUUUAGAUCACGAAACUGGCUAUGGGAAAAAGUUACAAGAUUUGGCAUAAAAUUAAUGGGCAGGGACUGUACAGUGUUUUGCUUGAACAACGAAACCGAGACGAAGUUCUUCUCUUUGAAUCUUUAGUUAUUGCUGCUUUGGGUCCUGCUGAGGUUGACGUAAUAAAAAAGUUGUAUACAAAACUUUAUGACACAUAUGGAUGUCUUGGUGAACUAUUUAUAGUUAAUACAGGUUUUUCAAAUGAACUAGAAUAAAAAUUGAAAAUAAUUUUCAACUUUGAUACUUCAAUCUAUUUCGGAGAUGGGUCCUUGCAAUAUACCUAGUCUUGGUUACAGGUUGUGUUUCUGUUGGAAAAAUGGGGGAAUCAGAAGUGUUUCGAAUCAAUCAAACAAGCUUUAUACCCUUAAAAGGACCACAGACAUUAGAAGAAGAAAGAGUGCCUGAGCUUUGGAAGCUGUUUAACUCUGGAACAUUGUAUUUCCUCUGGUCAUCUGAUGACUACCCAAUUGAUGCUACAUUAUGCACCCAAAAGCUCCAGCAGAAUCGUGGAACAGACAACAGAUUCUUCUAGAAUAGGCUUUUGCACUUACCAUUGCAACACUAUGGAAUUGAGUGUUCUCACUGGCUGUUACGAGUUAUACGUGUGGCAGUGUUGAAAUCUGACCUGUUUAUGCUGGUCAUUGUCAGUUUAAGGCAGCUAUCAUCUCCCGUCUUAGUUGCAAGCGGGCCGGUGCACGAUUCAAUGUACUGUACGUGGCGUCAACGAUGAAGGCCAUGUUACAAAUUUCGUCGAAACGGAACAGCUAAUCUAUGGCGAUCAAGGUGAUGCGUCGCCUUUUCUUCAAACACGUGGCUCUGUCCCUAUUUUCUGGGAGAAACCAGGAGUUCAAGUACGGUCGCACAAAUUCAGAUUCUCACGCGGUCCCGAAGCCUCGUCACCAGCUCUAGAACGCCAUUUGAAGCUCAUGCAAGAGCGUUAUCAUGACACAGCUAUCGUGAAUCUACUCGGUCUCAACAUGGUUGGUGCUAAAGAAGGGAAAACUUCACUUAGUCAAUUCUUCCAAGCUGACCAGAAACGCUAUUAUGAGUCGAUGCCUCACAUCAUGUUCGACUGUCACCAAGAAUCCAGAGGUGGUAACCUCCAGAAUAUCGCAAAAUUGAAACAAAGCCUGCAGCCUAUCUUUGAGAGCCAUUCCUUCUUCUUACUCAAAAAUCAGCAAGUUGUAUCUCAACAAAAAGGAGUUAUCCGAACCAACUGCCUCGACUGUUUUGAGCGAACAAACUGUGCGCAGACAUUCAUCGGCUUAGAGAUGGCAGCG